rnacentral:rRNA from 1 species
AUGGUUGAUAUGCAAGAUGAAAAUCCAAAAUUAAAUGAGCUCUGGUUUGUCAAGUGUUAUGUGAACGGCAUGAGAGAGGGCAUUAAGUAUCAGAUAAGAGUACUGAGACCUCAAACUCUCACUGAUGCCUACGGCUUGGCAAGGGACAUUGAACCUUGUCACCCACCUGUGUCUGUUAAUCAGAAAAGGCAUUUGUGUCUUAUAACAGCUACUAUCAGAAGAACACAAGUGCCAGCUUAUCUAAACAGCUACACACUCCUGUGUUACCUCAAGCUCCAACUGGCACUAAAUCUGCAGACAAUGUCAACAAUACUGCUCAGAGGAUAA